GCCCGGAGAGAUACAGGGCUCGGGGGGAGGAGCAAACACGCAGCGCCCGCCCGCACCAAAACCCGGAAGCGGAAGCGGAACCACAACCGGACGCCAGUAACUUAUCGCCUUCCCAGGGUGCACCUGGCAGGGGCGCGGCGCAGCGCAGGUGUUAGGGGGCUUCUUCCUUCACCCACUCACUUCCCUGGUCCUUCUCGCAUGAACAGAGAGCAACAAUACCCGAAGUCCAAAGGUGCAAACAAUUCGAUGUUUAUUGGGGUGAACUUCCAGCAAGCAUGAUUCCAGUUUCCUUCCUUAGUAUCCUCCUUCCCAGCUCUGACACCACAGAGCCUUACACCUGUGUUCCUGUUCCCAUUCCUGCCCUUAGCCAAACAUGAUUCCAAUUUCCUUACUCCCAUUCCCUGUUCCCAUUUCCCCCUUUAGCAAAACAUGAUUCCAAUUUCUCCACCCCCAUUCCCUGUUCCCAUCUCUCCCACGCCCACCCCCUCCCACCAAGGCCCCCUCCUCUACUUCCUGAUUGACUGCAGACUAUAUAGUAAAACUUGAGUUCUGCUUAGCUAUACCUUAACCAAUCAUUUUCCUGAAAUUUAACUAACCAAUCCUAACAUAUUGUAACAUGAUUAUGUAACCAAUUAUAUCCUACCACCUUAAUUAGUUUACACCCAGCAAAAUUAAUUAUACAGCAGACAGGAACAAUCACAGAACCAGACAGAUUAUACAGAAACAAUAACAAAGUGGGAACUAUAAUGACAAAACAAUACAGAAGUGAGGAUUUCACAUCCCAGUAUUGAUAAGUGAGUUCGUGCCAGACAGGAUGCUGUUUCCUUUUACAUUUUCUAGGCACUUCCCUUUCUCUGGAGGUGAUAGGCAUUAUCAGGACAGGAUUGUAUUCCUAACAGCCCAAUAGCACCUUCUUUCAAUGUGACUAGUUUGGAAGGUGAGGAUGUGACCUGUCGCUUCCUAGCUUAUGGCUGCCUCUGCUGCUUAGGCAAAGGCCUUAGCCUAAGAACAGGGCCUCAGACUGUCACAGUAAGAGAAGGCCCUUACACCGGCAGACAGUGAUUUUGAUUCUCUUUUGUACCUCUAUAACUAGCCAAGUGAUAAGAAGACACCAAAAUUCUUAGAGUAUAGGCCUUUACAGACAGGCCUGAAUAUCUAUAUCCUAACACCAGGAACCAUUCAAGAUAUUGGUUAUUUACUUUGCAGUUAACAAAUAUGUACCCAUCCCCAGUUCUUGCCAUAUAUGCCAUGUUUAAGCAUCUAAAUUAAGAAAUAAAAUUGACAAUCAAUUCAAAGAGACCCCCAUUCCUGAAUAAAUAAAACUCACUCUGUUCUAGCUUUGCUAAAGAAAUGACCUGAGAAAAAUGCUAAUUUUACAAAGGUAUACACAUGUGCUUAACUUCAAUUUGAGUAGUCCCAUUGAAGGGACUAAGGGUUAUCAGGCCAGCUGAGGGAGAGGAUUCUAGAAGCAGGGAACCUCUGCUGAGCAUCCUUGCCUCCAGAGUUCAACUGUGGAACCAUGGAAGGAGGGAAGGAGAGAAGCACUCUAAGGUAGUGAGCACCAAAACCUUAUGGGGCUUUAGAGAUUCUAACCUACACAUUGAACUGUACCUAGAAAAAACAUUAGCUAAUACAAAGAGGAAUGCCUUAUGAGCUCAAAGUACGGAAUAAAAUGACCCACAAAUAGACCUGUGAAGUCACUGCAUUUUGAAUUACAUCUAUAAAUUCAGUCUUUCACUUGGUCACCCUCCUCCCCAACCUUUUCAUCAUUAUUUUCAAUCAUUUGGGAAGUUGAGUGAAAUUUUUAGUUGUUUUGGAUGUGCCCAUGCGCAGUUCAGAUCCUGUUGCAGGAAUAAAAACAAAAAGAUAGGGCAGUCAGCCAACCCUAUCAGGUAACCUAGAAGAGCCUUAACUCCUCCUACCACAAUGAUAAGCACCCUUGGUUCCCCAACUGGUCCUACUGACAAAUUGCAUCAGCACUGCUUGCAGAAGAGAAGGAAACGUAUUGUACCCGGAUAUUACAGCACUUCCUCUUUUCUUGAAUACAGUGCUGUACACAAGUGAGAUUAGUGUGCUCUGCUCUCCCAGCCCCUACAUCCAGUCUCCACUGAAGACUAGAUUCUACUACUCUUACUGAUUUCAGUGGGCCCGCUUCUGGAAUAAUUUGCUACUCAGAGUAAGAAUGGCCACACCUGGCCCUGAAGGAGUAAGAGAAAUUGGCGAAGAAGAGGAGAAAAGGAAAAAGCUUUGCUUGCUGCUGCUUUGUUACGGUGGUAGGGUGACAUAAGUUAUGAUCUAUAGAGCCGUGAAAAGUCUAUGUGCCAGCUACCUGUGGGAAUGCCUCUCUCCCUGUGGCACAUUGUAGUGACUAAGGUAUAAUUUACACUAGAAGAAGUUUGCUAGUAAUAGCUUAUAAAACUCCCCCAAAUUUACCAAGCUACACUGGCUAAAGCAUUUUUUUCCAUUAUAAGCAAAUAGACAAGGGCUUUUGCCGAUAUCAAAAAGUGUUGUUUAAAAAAAAAAAUUACACCCCUAAACUAAAGUUACAAAUAUCUUCAAAGGUUACUAGUGUAGCCCUGGCAUAAGUUGACCUUUAGGUUUCUGGUUGUCAGAUCCUAGAACUGUUCACAACUAGCAGCAGGGUGUUCUCAAUUAAAGAACCUUAUAAAAAAGAUUAUGCUCACUGCAGGACACCAGAGGCAAAUUAGGCAAUUUUCAUUUAGUCAGGCCUUCAACUCACAAUUGAUGGUCACAGUGAAGGGUGCUUUAGCAGAUAGAUUUAUUUGACUGACGAAACAUCUGCAGUCAAUGGCUCCAGAAACUAUAGUACUGUACAUAUGCAUUUAUAUAAAUUUAACUGUAGUUAGGUUCAUAGGUGCUACAUAUUGAUAGACACUGAACAUAUUUAAAUAAUUAAAAUAUAAAAACAGUCAAGAUUAUUAAUUUAAAUACUCAAAAUUUAUAUUAAUCUUCAAUUUGACUUACACAACCUGUAUAAUUAUAUAUUUAAGACCACAAACAGAGCUCAUUAGAAAAUGGAUAUUUGUUGCACAUGAAAUUCUGACAUUUUCAAAUUUACUUCCUGUCCAAAUCAGGACAAAAGUAAAAAUUUAGAAAUUUACCACAGAACAAAAAUUCUGAAGUAUUUUAUGUAGGAAGCAUCAAAAUGACAUCUAAAUAUUUUGUUUCAAUAAUGUUGAAAUAAUAUAAAUAUAAAGGAUAUAAAUAUUGAAUAGAAUAUUAAAAUAAGUUUUGAAAAGUGAAAAAGUUGGAAUGAAAUAAGUCAAAACCAGAUGAGAGACUAAAUGAAAUUUCCAUUUGAAUUUGAAUCCUAUUGAAUAUUUUUUGUCAGCGCUUUCCUGAAAAAUGUUUAGAUUUUGAUGAAACAGCAUUUCCUAAGGAAAAUCUGGUCAACAUUUUUUAAACAAACAGUAUAUUCACGUAUGCAUUUAAUAAUUCAUACAGGAAUAGGAUGUACAAUAUUUGUUCAAUGUGUUCUAAGUAAUUACUAUGAAAAUGUUAACUUUUUUCCUUUCCUGAAAUUUGUUACCAUAACAAUAUGUGGGUGCCUGGAAGAUGUUAUCCAGUGAGAAGUCAUCAUCCACCUCUCUGGCUUAAUUUGUAGUAUGUUAUAGUUUAUAUAAGAUCUGUAUUACAGUUAUUGAACUUGUAGACUUUCAAACUGUAUUAGUGAAGCCAAAAAACCUUUUAAAGCUUCAGAGUUUGUUCUUGAAAUGGUUAUCAACUCCCUGGUGAAAGGCACUCUUCUGUAGAGAUCAUUAAUCUUGCAAGAGAAUCUGUUUCUGCAUCUGUUAAAGAAUAUUUCUUACAUUACACACCUCCUACCUAAAUAUUAAAUACAAUAAUUUAAAACCGA